ACUGAAGAAACCCGCCGGCUGCUGGGGCAGGGCGGCGAAAGGUCAGUCGGCCGAGAGGAGUCCGUGGAGCCACCGUUUCAUAGCCUCAGGGAAAGGAUCGGGCGUGCUCACGAGCCCUCUAACCCAUGGCUUAAACACCCGCUUCCUAAGCCUGGGUUCUUAUGCCUUUGUUUGAAAAACAUGGUUCCCUGUGAAAUUUUACAUGUAGAAGAAAGCUUCACACUACGAGAGCUCUCAGGAUAUAAUUAUUUCAGACAGAUACUGGGAACAUAAGAUGGCUUAUCAAUCUAAGAUGGCCUUCCUGUCCUUCGGAUUGAACUGAAACCAUCCCUGAUUCCAGGGAUAGGUAGAUGAUCCAGGUUUGGACAAUCAAAAUAUUGAACCACCCUGGACCUACAAGUGUUUCUGGGAUGGGAACAUGCAAACGUUGGUCCAAAUUGUUGUUCUAGGCAGCCCAGUACAUUUCUCCAAUGCCUGAUGGAAUGAUAGGGUAUGCAUAAAUGUUCAUGUGGGCUCUGGAGUAUACCAGGAACUGAAGUAAGGUACAUGGACGUCUUGAAUAUUGUAACUGAGAUGGGCAAGCCUACACCUUUGCAAAUAAAGGAGGAUUGGGAAAGAUUAAGAAUGAUUGAGUCUCAGAAUUGUUCUUUAAUCCUCAGUAUUUCCAUUAAGAAGAGCUUCUAUCAAGUGCUUCAAAAGUACCCAAUGUGAAGGAGUAAUAAUGACUCCCUGCUGCCUCUCAAGCACUGUGAAAAAUCACUUUCUCUUGUUGUAUUCUUGGAGCCCCUGCUAAUUCAUUAUUGAAAAAUACCUGCUGCCUGCAUUUGGCCUUAUGUUGUCAUUUACUUGGUACUUCCUAAGCGUGGCUACUCCAAUGAAGCUUUAGUAUAUGUACUGAAAGAAGAUCCUCUCAUACUGCCACAGCCAAGAGAUAAGGUUGUAAAUCUUUAUUGGGAGAAGCCGUCAAGGACAGUUCUGUGAAAUGAAAGGAUCUCUGGAUCACCACAAAGUCUGGCUCAGUGACUAUGGCUUUGCAAACACUAAACAUUCCUGUCUCAAGUCCUGUAGAUGGCUUGAAAUAGUAUACAUAAGCAUGCCUUAUAAACAUCUUCAGUCUUUAUCAACUCUUUGGAGAUUCAGCCAUUCUUUUUUGUACUUUAGGGAAUUAAAUCAUUUUAUAAUGUAUAAAUCUGAGCAUGGCCGAUGGCAGAAGAAAUUUUGUCAUACGUUUUUAAAGAAAUAAAAAUGUAUUAUGUUUUAAAAUUC
rnacentral:lncRNA from 1 species